UACGUAGGGGGCAAGCGUUGUCCGGAAUCAUUGGGCGUAAAGAGCGUGUAGGCGGCCCGAUAAGUCCGCUGUGAAAGUCCAGGGCUCAACCAUGGAAUGCCGGUGGAUACUGUCGGGCUAGAGUCCGGAAGAGGCGAGUGGAAUUCCUGGUGUAGCGGUGAAAUGCGCAGAUAUCAGGAGGAACACCAAUGGCGAAGGCAGCUCGCUGGGACGGUACUGACGCUGAGACGCGAAAGCGUGGGGAGCAAACAGG
rnacentral:rRNA from 1 species